rnacentral:misc_RNA from 1 species
UCUCAGUAAGCUUGUUGAAUCAAUUAAGAGAUUGCUUUCCUCAGAUUUUGUGGAAUUCUUCUUGUCUAGAUUCACUGUUGCUUUCGGUGCAGAAUGAUCCACCUUCUUCUGUAGUCAAUGAUCCAGCUUGUGUUGCUUCUAUCCGCUCUUUGUACCAAAAGACUGUCCGCGAAUGGAUAGUUGUUUCACUUUCACAGGCUCCUUGUACUAGUCAGGGGCUUCUUCAGGAAAAGCUUUGUAAAGCAAACACUUGGCAAAAAUCACAGCCUACAGCAGAAGUUGUUUCUCUCUUAUCCGAGAUUAAAAUUGGUACUGGUAAAAAUGAUUGUUGGACAGGAACAAAACCAGCAAAUAUUCCUGCUGUUAUGGCUGCAGCAGCUGCAGCAUCUGGAGCAAAAUUAAAAUUGACAGAGGCAUUUAAUUUAGAGGUUCUGAGUACUGGUAUGAUCAGUGCAACUGCAAAAUGCAAUCAUGCUGGAGAAAUUGCUGGAAUGAGAAGGUUAUAUGAGACUAUUGGCAGCCUUGAUCGUCCAGCGGUUGGUUCGGUUGAUAUAAAGGAAAAUAUGCAGCAAAAUCCUGAGUCCUUUUCUGAGGUUUUACUUACAAAGUUUGUCCGACUGCUUCAGAAGUUUGUUAAUGCUGCAGAAAAAGGGGGAGAAGUGGAUAAAUCAGCAUUCCAUGAAACUUGUUCUCAAGCAACUGCUUUACUUCUGUCUGAUCUGGGUUCAGGUUCUAAAUCAAAUGUAGAAAGCUUUUCACAACUUUUACGUCUUCUUUGCUGGUGCCCAGCUUAUAUAUUGACAUCUGAUGCCAUGGAGACUGG